UGAAUAUCACUUUUAUGGUUUCUAUAUCUAUAUAUUUUACAGCUAUGUAUAUAAUAAAUGCACAUAUUGACAGUAAACGCGUGUUUUGUGGACAAAUAUUACAUUUACAAAGUACACCCACUUUACCUCUAUUAAUUUAACAGUACAGUAUUGAAGCCAUAUUUCUGUACGCGAGGCAAUGUUAACCACGUUUGUCCACGUAGAAUAUCUAAAACCAACUUGCGUCUCUUUGAUGUUUCUCAGCGUGACUUUAUUUCAAUUAACUCCAUUUUGCAGGUGAUACAUUAUUUUAGUGUAUAAAUAAGAUCAUUGGUCGUUCUACGACAGAAGCCGUUCUCUGCUGAAAAUGAAGACUUCGUUGAUUCUUGUCGUCGUGUUGCUCGGAAUUUUCCUUGUCUGUUCGGAAGCCCGACAUCGUUGGCAUCCUGGCUAUCACCACAGACGCUGCUAUCACAGAAUUUACAAACUGAAGGCAGAAGUCAAAUGCCUGGAAACCCGGCUGAGCGAUUGUUUGUCGAAAGGAAACGGCGCAACAACCACAGUUCCAUCACCAUGACCAGCACCAAUGGGACCUUAGGGCUAGAUUGCUCUACACGGUCUACAUCCAAAGCAGGUCUGCUGAAUAUUUGAAAGUGACGCACUACAUCGUUUAUACCAGCUGAUUAACGAAACAUAAAAAGAGUCUAAAGCAAGAAAA